rnacentral:rRNA from 1 species
AACGAACGCUGGCGGUAGGCUUAACACAUGCAAGUCGAACGCAUGCCUUCGGGCAUGAGUGGCAGACGGGUGAGUAACGCGUGGGAACCUACCCCUUGGUACGGGAUAGCUCCGGGAAACUGGAGAUAAUACCGUAUGUGUCCUGAGGGACAAAGAUUCAUCGCCAAGGGAUGGGCCCGCGUCGGAUUAGCUAGUUGGUGGGGUAACGGCCUACCAAGGCGACGAUCCGUAGCUGGUCUAAGAGGAUGAUCAGCCACAUUGGGACUGAGACACGGCCCAAACUCCUACGGGAGGCAGCAGUGGGGAAUAUUGGACAAUGGGCGCAAGCCUGAUCCAGCCAUGCCGCGUGAGUGAUGAAGGCCCUAGGGUUGUAAAGCUCUUUCACCGGUGACGAUAAUGACGGUAACCGGAGAAGAAGCCCCGGCUAACUUCGUG